AUUGUAUCACUUUGUUCUAUUUCAACAGUUCCUAAUCGUGGAUGUGAAUGGAGACGCUUUCAGUAAACGGAAAAGACGAAAAUGAGAAUACAGCCCUGCAUAGAGCUGCUGAGACUGGUAAUGCGAAGGAAGCACAAAGACUCAUCGCUGAAGAAGCCAAUGUUGAUAUCGGAAAUGAGUUGUCGGGCACCUCUUCACUUCACUU